GGGGCUGUGGCUCAGUGGUAGAGCUUCCGCUUGGCACAGAGAAGGUCUCUGGUUCAAUCCCUGGCAUCUCCA
rnacentral:tRNA from 1 species